AGCUACAGUUCACUGACUCUGUGUGUUUGCAUAUCUGUCCUGCCUCUCUGCUCCCAGCCGUUAAGAGGCCAGUGUUGAUCAGUGGCUGUCCAGGCCUUUCAGAGCCACUGACACGCCGGCAGCACAAUGAUGAUGUCACUGAUUCCACUGCUGGCCACCCUGGGGCUCCUUGUUCAGGGUUCAUCAGGACAAAUCGUCCUGACUCAGUCUCCUGGAUCUCAGUCUGUUGUUCCAGGACAGACUGUCUCUCUCAGAUGUAAAACCAGUACGAGUGUUAGUAGCUCCCUCCACUGGUACCUUCAGAAACCUGGAGAAGCUCCUAAACUCCUGAUUUAUUAUGCUACAACCCUUCACUCUGGAGUUCCAGGUCGUUUUAGUGGAAGUGGAUCUGGGACUGACUUCACUCUGACCAUCAGUGGAGUUCAGGCUGAAGAUUCAGGAGUUUACUACUGUCAGCAGGGUGACAGCUUCCCGUUCACACAGUGAUACAACGUCGUACAAAAACCUCCCUCAGCUGGAGAGGAACUGAUCUGACUCAACAGCUGCACUGAAGCUAAAACAACAGAGAGAGAGGCCGACUGUGUCAGAAGAAAGUAAACAAAGUGGCUGAGCGCCGACAGAAAGGCGUCGGAGGGAAACAACUUCUGGUCAUCAAUGGUUCCGGCAGCACAACUUGUUUUAUUAUAAAUGAGUGGCGCAAGAAAUACUCGUGUUUUUUACUUUAUGUAAAAGUAGUAAAACCACUCUGUAAAAAUACCAUGUUACAAGUAAAAGUCCUGCAUUGAAAUUUAGUAAAAGUACAAAUAGUAGGCUGUCAUCGGCAACAUUUAUUUUAAGCAGGCCGAUCAAAAGUACUAAUUUGGGCAGAAUGGCUCCUUCCAGAGUUGAACUAUUAUUACUGAUGCAUUAGCAGUUUAAUGUCACAGCUGGUCGAAGUGGAGCUAAGUUUAACUACUUUAUAUACUGUAAGGUAGUUUCAUUUGUAAAGUUAAUCAUACAUUUUGUAAGUAAACUCUAACUAAAAGUACCUGUAGCUUUCAGAUGAAUGUAGUGGAGUAGAAAGCAGAACAGUUCUUUAGUUCAUUUCUUCCAUGUUUCCACCACUGUUCAGAUCCUUUAUUUAAGUAAAAGUAACAAUUUAAAAAUACUUCACUACAAGUAAAAGUACAUAUUAUCAGCAAAGUGUACUUAGUUUUAAAAGUAUUGGUUCUGCAGUAAAAUGUCUCCUGUGACCGAUA